rnacentral:rRNA from 1 species
CCGGCUAACUACGUGCCANCAGCCGCGGUAAUACGUAGGGCGCGAGCGUUNUCCGGAAUUAUUGGGCGUAAAGAGCUCGUAGGCGGCUGNUCGCGUCUGUCGUGAAAUCCUCUGGCUUAACUGGGGGCUUGCGGUGGGUACGGGCCGGCUUGAGUGCGGUAGGGGAGACUGGAACUCCUGGUGUAGCGGUGGAAUGCGCAGAUAUCAGGAAGAACACCGGUGGCGAAGGCGGGUCUCUGGGCCGUUACUGACGCUGAGGAGCGAAAGCGUGGGGAGCGAACAGGAUUAGAUACCCUGGUAGUCCACGCCGUAAACGUUGGGCACUAGGUGUGGGGGGCCUUUUCCGGGUCUUCCGCGCCGUAGCUAACGCAUUAAGUGCCCCGCCUGGGGAGUACGGCCGCAAGGCUAAAACUCAAAGGAAUUGACGGGGGCCCGCACAAGCGGCGGAGCAUGCGGAUUAAUUCGAUGCAACGCGAAGAACCUUACCAAGGCUUGACAUGUGCCGGUCUGCUCCGGAGACGGGGUUUCCUCCCUUGUGGGGGCUGGUUCACAGGUGGUGCAUGGUUGUCGUCAGCUCGUGUCGUGAGAUGUUGGGUUAAGUCCCGCAACGAGCGCAACCCUUGUCUCGUGUUGCCAGCACGUUGUGGUGGGGACUCGCGGGAGACUGCCGGGGUCAACUCGGAGGAAGGUGGGGAUGACGUCAAAUCAUCAUGCCCCUUAUGUCUUGGGCUUCACGCAUGCUACAAUGGCCGGUACAGAGGGCUGCGAUACCGUGAGGUGGAGCGAAUCCCUUAAAGCCGGUCUCAGUUCGGAUCGGUGUCUGCAACUCGACACCGUGAAGUUGGAGUCGCUAGUAAUCGCAGAUCAGCAACGCUGCGGUGAAUACGUUCUCGGGCCUUGUACACACCGCCCGUCACGUCAUGAAAGUCGGCAACACCNG